rnacentral:rRNA from 1 species
AUUGAACGCUGGCGGCAGGCCUAACACAUGCAAGUCGAGCGAGCGGCGGACGGGUGAGUAAUGCCUAGGAAUCUGCCUGGUAGUGGGGGAUAACGUCCGGAAACGGUAGCUAAUACCGCAUACCAUCAGAUGAACCCAUAUGGGAUUAGCUAGUAGGUAAGGUAACGGCUUACCUAGGCGACGAUCCCUAGCUGGUCUGAGAGGAUGAUCAGCCACACUGGGACUGAGACACGGCCCAGACUCCUACGGGAGGCAGCAGUGGGGAAUAUUGCACAAUGGGCGCAAGCCUGAUGCAGCCAUGCCGCGUGUAUGAAGAAGGCCUUCGGGUUGUAAAGUACUUUCAGUCGGGAGGCGUUACCGACAGAAGAAGCACCGGCUAACUCCGUGCCAGCAGCCGCGGUAAUAC